CGUAUCGCACGCUAUACUUUGGCUUAUUGUCAUCUUCGAGGGCGGGCUACAGCUAUCCGUCACCCAGCUUGUCGACGUAAUCUGCUAUAACAAUGCAGCGAAGAAUCCCGUAGCAUGAAAUGCCGGCUGUGCUCGGCAUUCUCGUGUCGAACAAUGGACUAAAGCACCGUGCAGCUCGUUCUCGUGAAACGGCUGCAUUCCGCUGCCAUCGAAUUUGUACGUAUAUCGUCGGCUGCAACUGACCAUUUCUUUACACGGUCCCUUGCUAUCAGUGCCUGGAAAAUAGAUGGUCUACAUGAAAUGCCUCUGAAACAAUAAAGACAACUCAAAAUGUAUGGCGGACGAUUUAGAUGGCUGGUCUUACCUCUUUAUCCCAGUCACAUCGAAUGGUCAAAAUGGCCAAUAUCAAUGUCUGAAUGCCUGUUCCACCAAUCAUUCCAGCCCAAAUGCCCUGUUAUAAGAAAGUUUAGUUGGAUAUGACUUAAGAUAAUAUAAGGCCACAAGAGAAAAUUGUAAUCUUAGAUGCAAGAAUUACAUGGCAGAGGAUCUGCUCACCAGAAAGAACUGGUUGGACACUGUUGAGAAGAAUGCUGAAUGCCAAUAGGAUACAUAGCCUGUUAACAACCUCCUGAAUGACUUGA